rnacentral:lncRNA from 12 species
UUUGACAAGGAAAGACUCCCUGUAUAACCCCUAACCCGUGCUUUCUUUGCAGGAAGAUGCUGCCUUAGAAGAAACAGGAUAGCACCCCUCACCCACCACAAAAGCUGAAAGCGUCUACUCCAACCAAUUUUGUGUGCAUUUGGACCUGGCCUGUAGAUGGACCAUUGGAGUGUUUGGAUGUGCCAUGUUGGUCUACAAUGAGUCACUCUCAUUUAUCCCAGCUUAGCAGUCGUGCUGCAGAAACAUGACAAAGAAUCCUAGCAAGUCCAUGAAUGAACCUUAAGUGAACGGAGUGAAGAGGUUCCUCCCAGGCUGUGCAAGAGUUAAAUUUUCUCCCAAGGCUGGGAUGGGCGAUUCAGCAUGGCAAGAGGGGCUACUUGGACUUGCCUCUGCCUGGACAAGGGAACGGCUGGAAGCAGCCAGCCCUCUGUCAGGUAAUGCAGGAGCACAAAUUCCUUGGUCCUGUCUGAGAUCUCCGUGCAAAUGGGCUUGACAUGGGGAUGCUGACCCUGAAUGGUAAGAAGGCUGGUAGAGAUAUCUGUGGGUGAGCAUGGUCUGCGUCACUCU